CCUACGGGUGGCAGCAGUGAGGAAUAUUGGUCAAUGGACGAGAGUCUGAACCAGCCAAGUAGCGUGAAGGAUGACUGCCCUAUGGGUUGUAAACUUCUUUUAUAUAGGAAUAAAAUGUUCCACGUGUGGGAUUUUGUAUGUACCAUAUGAAUAAGGAUCGGCUAACUCCGUGCCAGCAGCCGCGGUAAUACGGAGGAUCCGAGCGUUAUCCGGAUUUAUUGGGUUUAAAGGGAGCGUAGGUGGAUUGUUAAGUCAGUUGUGAAAGUUUGCGGCUCAACCGUAAAAUUGCAGUUGAAACUGGCAGUCUUGAGUACAGUAGAGGUGGGCGGAAUUCGUGGUGUAGCGGUGAAAUGCUUAGAUAUCACGAAGAACUCCGAUUGCGAAGGCAGUUCACUGGACUGCAACUGACACUGAGGCUCGAAAGUGUGGGUAUCAAACAGGAUUAGAUACCCGAGUAGUC
rnacentral:rRNA from 1 species